CCGAGGGAAGAGGGGCCGGGAAUCUCCCAUGAGCAGCAAAACGACUGAGAUGGAAAAAAGAUGGGAAGAUCCCUGGGCCCUCCGUUCGGUCCAGUAAGAAAAGUAUAAUAGUUUCAGGAAGGGACCGCAGACAAGACAGAGGGAGGGAAAUCAUCGAAGAAAUUCAAGAAAAUCAGCAGAACUUUCCUGUUGGAGUGAGUGGCAGGGGCCCACAGCACUUGGCAAACAGCGGGGUUGCUCCCGAGCGUGUGGGUGGGGACGAUCCUAAUCGCCCACUUGACCAGACAUCCACCCGAACGUGGGCUCUUCUCUGCUAUGGUCUGAAUGUGUGUCUUCCAAAACUUCGUUGUUGAAGCCCUGACUCCGCCAAUGUGAUGGUGUUAGAAGGGGGGCCUUCCGGAGGUGAUGAGGUGAGGACACAGCGAGAAGACGCGGUCCAUGAACCAGAACGGGGGCCCUCACCAGACACCGACUCUGUUGAUCUUGGAUUCCCAGCCUCCAGAACUGUGAGAACUCAAGCCCCCCGGUCUGUGGCAUCCGUUACAGCAGCCCUGACGGACUUCGGCUCACCCCUGAGAUCAUACCAUUGAAAAAUUGGAACACAAAACCAUGUGCACUAGGAUUUCCCGCUGUGUACUCAGAUGAGCUCUGAAGGAUGGGACAGCUUGAAGGAGGGAGGCACCUGUCUUCUGAAGAGACGGGCUCCUGGGAUCACCGCCGCUUUGGUCUCCCAUGGCCACGUGUGCGGUCAGGAGGGAGCGGCCCUGCGUGUAAAGUGCUGGGGCCGCCUGGCACGGCAGGCCCUAGAGCCGGGAGGCCACAGGAGAGACCCUGAGCAGGUGCUCGGUCAGUGGAAGUGGAUGAAUGGGACGGCCUCUCCAGAAGGCAGAUAAGAGCACGGUGGCCUCCCCACCUGACAACUUGCCCUGAGGCCCCCUGUCCACUCCCAAGCCCCAGCCUUUCCCAGGGGAAACCCUUCCAGCUGGAGCACCCAGGAGCCGCAGGAGACCAGGUAGGAAUCUUUCCCUCCACUGAUUCUGUUCGCACCUCCAGCUUAAUGAGCCCAAGCUGCUGGGGGCUUCUGGGUCACACCUUUUCACUUGAUUAAAGCAAAACACAGAUGCACUUGCAGCAGUGUCCUCACGAGCGGAACUUCUGCGGACUGUGAGCACGGAGCUUCCUGCCUCCCAGGGACGGUUGUUACACAAAGAAGGGGCUCAAGGGCACCAAGUCGGCCCUGGAUGCACCUAUGGAGGAUGUGCCAGUCAGAGCUGGGGUUAGGGUCAGGCAGCACCUGGGUUCCGCCCUGCCUUUGGCCACCAGCCUCCAAGACGGAGGUCCAGCCCCACUGGGCCCGCCUCCUGGUGUCCGUGCCCAGGUACAGUCCCAUCCCAGCUGAAGAGGGCUGACCUGGGCAGGAAUGUGAGUGACUCUGGGCAAGGUCGUGACCAGCACUGAGCUUCCUCCUGCCUCUCGGAUCGCUCACCCCGGGGGGAGCCAUGCUGCGAGGGCACUCAGGCAGC